UUUAAUCUAUCUAUCUAUCCAUCUAUCUGUUUAAUCAAUUUAUCAAUCACUUGUUAGGGAAAGAUCAAGCACUAAUGCCCAACUCUUCCCCUUCUGUUCUCUGCCCCCUCUUCCCUUGACAGCUACUGUGCUUAUUUCCGAAUGAAGGAGGUAAGUCCCUCCUGCCGACUUGGGCUACGGACCAGCCGACUGUUCCGGGAGAAAUACGUGUGUGUGGAGUGCCAAGGAGAAGCCAUGGGGGUCAGAGAUCGUUGUGAAGGUGAUGGGCUGGAAGGAACCAGAACAUUCUGGAUAGCGGUCUCCAACGCUGGCUGCCAAGGAUCUUGGGUACGUGAAUCUCUGCAUGAAACUUGUCGCUGUCCCCCACAGUCGCUGAUCUUUGUUUAACGCUGCUCUGAAUUUGACACGGAACCCCAUACAGCAAUAGAAGUCAGCUCGGGGGAGCCACAGAGAGGAAAGCCCUGCGCAGAGCCAUCGUCACUCGCUGGACUCCUGCAUUUGGCAAUGAGAUGUGAGACAUGUAAAAAUGGCAGAAGGAAAGGCUAUGUAACCUUGCUGCAUGCUAUUUACCUCAGUAUCCUUCUACGUAAGCACAUGCAGAGUCUUAUAACCUCACGACAGAACAAUGAAAGUCUCAAAGCACAAAAAGAACAGCUAAGAACCUUUAAACCUUUUACCUCUGAAACUCUGCUGACAGCUACCUCCAUAAACACACUUGCAUUUAUUAAAAAAAACAAAAAAGUCCUUUCAAUGGUUUUCUACUAUUUGUCAAGUUUUUUUAAUUGUCUAUCCAUACGCUAUGUAACUGGGAACAGCAAAGAUGAGAAUAUUUAGAUGCAAAGACUGAAUAUUAUUUAAAAUUACUUUUGAAUAAAUCCAUUAUCAUGAU